rnacentral:rRNA from 1 species
UACGGAAGGCAGCAGUGGGGAAUAUUGCACAAUGGGCGCAAGCCUGAUGCAGCCAUGCCGCGUGUAUGAAAAAGGCCUUCGGGUUGUAAAGUACUUUCAGUCGUGAGGAAGGUGUUAAGGUUAAUAACCUUAGCAAUUGACGUUAGCGACAGAAGAAGCACCGGCUAACUCCGUGCCAGCAGCCGCGGUAAUACGGAGGGUGCGAGCGUUAAUCGGAAUUACUGGGCGUAAAGGGCACGCAGGCGGUUAAUUAAGUUGGAUGUGAAAUCCCCGGGCUUAACCUGGGAAUGGCAUUCAAGACUGGUUAGCUAGAGUCUUGUGGAGGGGGUUAGAAUUCCAUGUGUAGCGGUGAAAUGCGUAGAGAUGUGGAGGAAUACCGGUGGCGAAGGCGGCCCCUGGACAAAGACUGACGCUCAUGUGCGAAAGCGUGGGGAGCAAAC